rnacentral:rRNA from 1 species
AGUGAACGCUGGCGGUAGGCCUAACACAUGCAAGUCGAACGGCAGCACAGUAAGAGCUUGCUCUUACGGGUGGCGAGUGGCGGACGGGUGAGGAAUACAUCGGAAUCUACUUUUUCGUGGGGGAUAACGUAGGGAAACUUACGCUAAUCCCGCAUACGACCUACGGGUGAAAGCAGGGGAUCUUCGGACCUUGCGCGAUUGAAUGAGCCGAUGUCGGAUUAGCUAGUUGGCGGGGUAAAGGCCCACCAAGGCGACGAUCCGUAGCUGGUCUGAGAGGAUGAUCAGCCACACUGGAACUGAGACACGGUCCAGACUCCUACGGGAGGCAGCAGUGGGGAAUAUUGGACAAUGGGCGCAAGCCUGAUCCAGCCAUACCGCGUGUGUGCAGAAGGCCUUCGGGUUGUAAAGCCCUUUUGUUGGGAAAGAAAAGCAGCAGGUUAAUACCCCGCUGUUCUGACGGUACCCAAAGAAUAAGCACCGGCUAACUUCGUG